AAACCAUGUUGUAGGCAUGAACUGAUGAGAUCCUUGAAAUGUUCUCAACAUUAGAAGAAUGUUUCAUCUUCCUUUUAUGUGAAGUUCACAAUCGACUUCCUGAUAGU